GGGGGGGGGUGCGCACGCGCGCGCAGCGGGAGGAGUGUGGAGUGGACGCGGCGGCGAGUGCAGCCGAGCGAAGCCGAAGAACUCCGCUGACCGACCGGCACGGACGCAGAGGGAAGCGUGACUUGUGGAGGAAGAGACGUAAAAGGAAGAAGAAGAAAAAAAAAAGAAAAAACUCCCCAACCUUCCACGGCUCAGUUCGACACUUGGAGCGAGAGGCUCACGUGAGAGCCGGUUCGCGGCGCGAGGAACGGCAGCGGCCGCGACAGACCCGGAUAGACCCCGGUCUCCACCAGGACCUCGUGUUCGUCUGGACUCGUAUCCCCCGACACACACACACACACACGCGCACCAUACCAGCACCUCUUCAUUUACUUGGCGCUAACUCGCGCGUUCUGCGGCGGCUCAGUGGCGCGCGGUGGAUUUGUUUCGCGUGCUCGCCAGCUGGAGACGGGAGGAGGAAGCGCGCGGGUCUCGGAGCCGGAGAGAAAUGCCCACGGCGGCGACGAAGAGGAGCUUCAACCUGAGAACAACCUCAGGGCCAAGAGCGUGCCCUUGGUGUUCAGACGGCAGUGCAGUGUGAUGCUAACACGGUGUUAGUCUUUGAUCCUGUCAGAGUGGGACGCGUCUAGCAGGGGACUGAGGAGGGAGCAGUGCCGACUCGGAAACAUGGGGCCCAGCCGUCACCUGGCAGUGCCCCUCCUGCCCAGAGAGGCGUUGCCGCUCCUGCUGCUGCUCUGCUGCAUGGUGUUCUCCUCCAAGGCAGAGAGU
ensembl:lncRNA